rnacentral:rRNA from 1 species
AACGAACGCUGGCGGCAGGCUUAACACAUGCAAGUCGAACGCCCCGCAAGGGGAGUGGCAGACGGGUGAGUAACGCGUGGGAAUCUACCUAGUUCUACGGAACAACUGAGGGAAACUUCAGCUAAUACCGUAUACGCCCUACGGGGGAAAGAUUUAUCGGAAUUAGAUGAGCCCGCGUAAGAUUAGCUAGUUGGUGGGGUAAUGGCCUACCAAGGCGACGAUCUUUAGCUGGUCUGAGAGGAUGAUCAGCCACACUGGGACUGAGACACGGCCCAGACUCCUACGGGAGGCAGCAGUGGGGAAUAUUGGACAAUGGGCGCAAGCCUGAUCCAGCCAUGCCGCGUGAGUGAUGAAGGCCUUAGGGUUGUAAAGCUCUUUCAGUGGGGAAGAUAAUGACGGUACCCACAGAAGAAGCCCCGGCUAACUUCGUGCCAGCAGCCGCAGUAACAC